ensembl:lncRNA
CCUAAACUUCUUAAAACUAAAUGUAAACAAAACAGAGAUUGUGCUAUUUGGUCGUCCUGACUUGGUCCAGGUCCUUGCCAGGUCCCUUGGCCCUCUAGCACCUUACAUAGGUUCCCAGGCCAGAAACCUUGGUGUGAUUAUUGAUGGGGCAUUUAAAUUGGACAAGCAGGUUAGCUCUGUGGUUAAGGCUAGCUUCUUCCAGCUUCGGCUUCUAGCCAAAGUCAAACCUAUCUAAACAGGGCUGACCUCGAAAAAGUCAUGCAUGCUUUUAUAUCUUCGCGCUUGGACUAUUUCAACUCCUUGUAUGUCGGUAUUGGCCAGUCUGAACUCAACCGUCUACAGCUUGUGCAGAAUGCAGCAGCCCGUCUCCUGACCGGGACAAAGAAGCAUGGGCACAUAACGCCAGUGCUUUCCUCUCUCCACUGGCUUCCGGUUAGGUUCAGAAUUUGUUUUUAAGUCUCUGCAUGGACUGGCCCCAGAAUAUUUAUCGAGCCUUAUUAAUGUGCAUCAACCCUCCAGAGCUCUGAGGUCAGCUGACCAGCUGGUUCUGAACGUUCCUCGGUCGUUCCUUAAAACAAAAGGAGAUCGAGCCUUCGCAGUAGCGGGUCCCAGACUGUGGAACGCUUUGCCGUUUUCUGUGCGGUCUGCGACGAACCUUUCCACUUUUAAAACUCGCCUUAAGACUCACUUCUUCACAUUGGCCUUUGGCUGAGUUAAGUCACCUGCAUCGAUCUUUUAUGUGUUUGCCGUUUACUGUUUUACUGUUUAUUUUUAUUUAUUUUAUUUUUUGCUUGUUUGUAUGUUUUACGUUUGCUUGUAUUGUUUUAUUGAUGCUGAUUGUUUUUAUCCUGUAAAGCACUUUGGCUGGCCACUGGCCUUUAAAAGUGCUGUAAAUAAUAAAUAAAAUUGACAUUGACAAAGAGCUUGUAACACCUUAUUGCCCUACAAGUCAGCUGCGCUCCAUAGAUGCUGGGUUACUUGUUGUUCCUAUGGUUUUAAAAAGUAGGCUGGGGGCCAGAGCCUUCAGUUAUCAAGCUCCUCUUUUGUGGAACCAGGUUCCACUUUCAGUCCGGGGAGCAGAUUCGGUCAGCUCUUUUAAAGUAAAACUUAAAACUUUCCUCUUUGAUUGUGCCUAUAGUUAGGGCUGGCUCAGGUUAGUCCAGACCAGCCCUUAGUUAAGCUGCUAUAGGAUUAGACUGCCGGGGGACUUCUUAGGACACACCAAGCUCCUCUCUCACGCUCUCGUUCUACCAUAAUUCACGUUUUAUUAAUGUACAUGACUAAUUCAGCUUCUUUCCGGGAGUUUUUUUUGUGCUUUCUCCCCUAGCAGAUCUCCGUAGAUCGUAGUUCCUUCUGGACCCUGGUCCUGACACCUGCUGUGGCCCUGCUGACGCCUGCUGCUUCCAUCAUCAUCAUCAUUAUUAUUUUAGAUAUUAAUCAUAUUACUGUACUCGUAAACCAACAUUACCCUCUCCUAAAGUGUGCUCUCCCUCCCCACAGGCUUCUGUGGAUGGUGGUUCUAUCUGAAGGUGGUUGCACCUGCACUGGUCCUGCUGUGCGCCUGGCUUACUACUCACAAUUACUUGAAUCUGUCAUAGGAAUUGCAUGUAUUAUACAUUGUUCAUUCUGUACACAUGGCAUCCAUUGUAGUCUGUCCAUCCCGGAAGUGGGAUCCCUCCUCUGACGUUCUCCCCUAAGGUUUCUUCCCGGGUUUUUUCAUUUUUUGGGGAAUUUUUCCUGUGCCGAUGGUGGGUUUCGGGACAGAGGAUGUCGUAUGUGUAAAGACUGUAAAGCACUCUGAGGCAAAUUUGUAAUUUGCGAUUUUGGGCUAUACAAAAUAAAAUAAAUUGAAUUGAAGAUAACUGUCAUGACACUGACAGUGAGGACUGAGUGUCCUAAUGUUGUUUGCUGUAAUGCUGUUAUUUUUUGUUCAGUUUUAUAUGUCAUAUUUCUUAUUUUUCAUAAAGAUUGUUUUUAAGGUUGAUCAGUGUUUUCAUUUGUGGAAGAAUAAAUGGUCAUUGGUAUAAGUAUAAUUGCUGCCUUUUAUUGAUACAAAGGAGGGUUUUUUUGUCCAAUACAUAGAAAUACUAACGUAAAGUAUGUAGUAAAAUUUUGUUUGGCGUUAAUCUUUUUCUGUGUAAGUGUGAAAGAAUUCCACGAGACCCAGCAGCAGAGCCCAGACAAGGAGGUUCCAGUAGACACAGAUGUACCUGAGCAGAGGGAGACGGAAGGUGAGGGGGGGGGGGGGGGGAAUUCAACGAGACCCAGCAGCAGAGCCCAGACGAGGAGGUUCAGUCCAUCCAAGGGUUGGAUGGGACGAAAGUAAGGAGUACCUGCCCCGGGUGACUGAUAUUUAGUGUGAUGUUUGUGUUCCAGUUUGGUUUGUUUCUCUCAGAGUACAGCCAAGGGGAAGCAGUGCUCAGCCUGCGGAAGGCCGAAGCAGCCGGAUACGGACCCAGAUGGAGGCACUCAACGGUAAGAUGCCCGAAAAGACGCUACAUGACACUCAAAGCUUAAACGAAUGUAGACCUGCUGUCAGUCAAAAUGAUUGAUACAUCUUUUGAUUCAUGGACUAAUGCCACAACACAACUAAAUCAGAGUUAUUGAGGGGGGGUUCUGUCACGGUUUGGGUUCGCCUCCUGUUUUAUUUUGUAGUUUUCUGCCUCUCCUGUCCCCGGGUAACUUCACUUCCUGCCUUGUCCUGUCAUCCCCUGUGAUUGUCUGCCGUGUCGUGAUUGUUUCCACCUGUGUCCAAUCACCUGCACCUUCCCUGUGUAUUUAAGCCAUGUGUGUCUCUUGUCGCAUCAUUCUUGGAGGUAACUGUUGAAUGUAGUGUCUUGUUCCUGGUCCCGGUCUGCGGUUUCAGCCCUUCACAUUUUUGAGUUAGAUUUUGGAUCUGGUGACUAUUAGACUAUAAGUCCUUUUUUGUUUGAAAAGCUGACGUUUUAGUCCUACCUCACGUCUACACCCGAACCCCUAACAGAACUUUGACAGUCUGUAUGAUGUUCAUACCUGUCCAAUAUUUUAUUGGUUGCAUCCUUUACCGUCUUGCCCCCUACUUUGGCCAGCAAAUGAACCUGUCAAAAUUGUGUAUAGUUUCAAGGUAUUUGAUUGUGUUAAUAUGAAAAUGAAAUGUACCUCCUUUUAAAAAAAUAAAUUCCCAAAAAGUUUAACCGUUCUCUCAUUUUUACCAAUGAUCCCCGCUGGUCUGCAUCUUUUAAUAUCCCCACCAGCACAUGAAGUCCCUCCUUGAAGUUUCAAUUUCGGGCAAACCUCUUCCGUCAGGUCCACCAACUUCCCAAAGACCACCCUUUAGAAUUCUUACAAAAACAAAUUCAUAAAAUGUUAUUGUUUGCAUGGUCAUUGAUGAAUAUAUUCGAGACAAUGAUAGAAUUGGCAAAGCGCUUACUUGCUUUGGACAUGGAAAAAAUAUACCCUUUUUGCCUGGAAUAAUUGAUGGAAAAACAAUGUUAUGAUACUACGCAGUGAGCAUAUUGUGAUUGAAAAGACGUCUUUGCCCGACGUUGCAAAUUGUUUAAAAGUGAAAAGUUAUUUCAAUGUCUAUUCAAAGACGUUGAAACUACGUCCAAAUUUGUAAGUUUACCACCGAUGUUAUAAAUCACCUUAAAAACGGGUCUAAACGUGAACGUCUUUUAAACGUCUACAAAGAGACGUUGAAAAAAAAACUCACUUUUUAACCAAUUUGCAACCUCUUUUCAACGUCUAGUAAUAGACGUCAUUUCAACGGAUAAAUUGCUCGCUGGAAACUUACAAGUUACAUAGUCAGUGUUCAUGUUAACAGCCCUUAAAAAGGACAAACACAUUCAUUUUAAUAAUUUGUAUUUAUUAUAAAUAACAAUACUAUACAUAAAACACAAAAAUAAUAUUUCAGGGAAAUAAACUAUGGAAUUAAAAGUGCAUGAACAACAUGGACAAGUUAGUUUAAAAUUCUGUAACAAGAUCUGGCUCUGAGUCACUUGAAUUUGGAUAGUAUACCUGACAUCAGCUGCAUCCCCCUCAUCCUCACGAGAGGAUUCUUUGUGUAAAGGGAGUCAGAAUGCGCAGAACACCCCUCAAUUGCAGAUUCCACUGGUCAACAUGUUUAUUCAAAUAAUUUUAUUUGUUCAGCUUUACAAUCUGUAAACAUGCAACAUCCUGUCCCAAAAACCCCAAAAUGUAAAAACCUUCAACUGGGAGAAACCAGCAGAGAAGUAGGUGUGUAGAGCAUUUAAAGUAACCUAAAGAUGUACAGUACAUCCAAUUCUUACGGCAGAAAUGAGUCAAAUUGUGGAUUAUUAAGCCAGGGGUAAGGCAGGACCAGUGCAGGGACAACCAUCAUCAGAUGCAACCACCACCCACAGAACCCUGUGAGGAGGGAACGCACAAAGGCAAAGUUGGUCAUUUGGGUUUAGGAUUACAGUAAUAAACUAAUAUUAGUUUUUCUCGAUUGCUUAAGCACGAUUUUCAAAACAGUGCCAGUGUUUUCAAAAUACUACACACAAUUAGCAAAACGCUACAGAUCCUUUGCAAAAUUUAAACACUAUACACUUCUUUUUAAAUACCACACUUUGUUACCAUAUGAAGCACACACGUUUCACACUACACUCUGCUGUGAUAAAGUACGAAUAUAAUGUAAAUUCACCAAACACUACACAAGACAAAUGUUGCAGACUGAAGAAACUCAUUUAUUUCUCAACACGCCUAAAAUGUUGACAGAUUCAUAAUACUGUAACCAAACGUCACUUUACGUAUUGUAAGUUCAAAAAAACAAAACAAAACUAGAAAUUCUCUUUUCUCGCCUAGCUGGAUCUGGCCAGAGAAUUUCAUCAACAUCGAAGGCAAUGUUGUCAUUAGCAAGACACCUUGGAAAGAAACUUCUUGAAUGACGAAUCCAUCCUUGCAUUGUUGCUACCUCCAUCUGGUCACAGGCCUCCUCCAUGGCUUGGAUGAGGGGGUACCUCAGCCUGGAGACGGAGAUCACAUUCCUUCCACCGCCAGGCAGAGAAAAACUCUUCUGUAGGGUUGAGGAAUGGAGAGUAUGGUGGAAGAUAUCGUACAGUGAAAUGUGGAUGUUGCUGAAACCAGUUCUGAACCAGAGCAGAGCGGUGGAAAGACACGUUGUCCCAGACAACAAUGUAUUGCAUAUGAUCGAUUUGAUGCUGUUAUGUUGUGCAAUUGGUCAAAGAAUGGUUACCUGGCCCAUAUGGGCAUGGCGGUGGAGAACCCUAUUCUGUGUUAUAGCUGCACAGUGUUAUAUUACCCCCACGUUGCCCUGGGACAUUGAUUAUAGCCCUGUGGCCAAUGAUGUUUCUUCCCCUCCUUCGUGUUCUCGUCAGGUUGAACCCAGCCUCAUCUACGUAAAUGAACUCAUGCUGGAUCUCCUCUCCAUCCAUUCGUAAAACUCUGAAAAACAGUGUCAGGCAAAAUUGUGUAGUUCAGUGUAGAUCUAGUAUACAUAUUACAGUACUGUAAAAGACUGACAGUAUGCAAGAUCACACUGCUAAAGUGAAUACAUACCUCUGCAUAAUCAUGCCACAGUAGUUUCACCCUUUCGGAAUUGCGCUCGAAAGGCACUCUAUAAAUUUGCUUCAUUUGAAUAGGUUUAUUUUUUAGGAUGUGUGCCAGUGUUGAUGUUGAGACCUGAUGGAAAUCGUUGAAAAUGGCGUAGUUGAAUGCCCAUCUCUUGCUGUUCUGUGAACAUAGGAGGCCUUCCCCCUUGUUGUCCCCGACCCUCAAUCCUAUGUAGAAAAAACUCCCAGUAUACAAUAGUACAGUAAUUUCACAGGAAAAGGUAACAGAAGUGCUGAGAGUGCAUAGAAUACAGUACUGUAAGCAGUUACUGAAACCGUGCAGAUGUUUUUGAUUUCUGCAAUACCUAUUUUCCAGUCGAAAUGUUCUCACACUUGCCACCGUAUAUCUGCUUAGAUUUGGCUGUACUCGCAGUCCAGCGUCGUCAGGCCGUGGUUGACAACGUGGUCAACCAGUGUUGCGCGGAUCUCAUUUGUCAGAUUCGGUCCUCUUUGAGCACCUUCUUGUCUUAUUCCUCGUCGUCUUACUUUCUCUGACUCUUUCCAUUGUGCUUUAAGAACGAUGAACUCACUUGCGGCUUUUUAUAGUGCUUACACACCUGAUUGGUGUGUCUACAAUUAAGCAAACUAGUGUUUGCACACCUGAUGACUGUGGAACCAAUUGGUUGGACAGUGUGGCAAUUUGACAGUCGGUGCUUUGGUAUUACAAGGACGUGACUUCAUGAUAGAUUUUUGUGUGUAAUGUAUGUUUAGUGUUUUGCAACAAGUGUGAGGUUGACAAUGUGCUUAUAGUUGUGCAAAUAUGGGCUGAUAUUUUGCUUCUUGAGGUGUAAGGUUUUGCUAAUAGUGAACUACUUUUAUCCGAAAAAAACUAACAACAUGGAUGUUUUUUUAGUGGUGCCUGUGUACAUGUUAUUUUUUUCUGAUUGCUUAAGCACAUUUUUUGUAACUAUUGGCUAUUUUUGCAAAACUCUACACACAAAUAAGAAAACCUUUCACCCAAUUAUCAAAACAUUGUAGUUCUCUUGCAAAAGCGAACACAGCUAGAUUAACUCUUCACACCUUCGUUAAAAUGGUGUUUUCGUAUCAAACAGUAAACACAAGCCAUCAUCUACUAAGCACACAAUGUGCCAACUACACACAACACUUUUUGUAUUCAUUUUGUUUUCUCUGUGUACAGAUGUCAAUUUGAGGUCAUACUUUUGUCAUAGUGUCAUGUAAACAUACAAGGAUCCAAACUUCUGUAUUGGUGUUUAUUCACACUCAUCAAAACCAAGACAAAGUGAGAACACAAAAUAAAUUUCACACACACAAAAAAAAAAGACAAUCAGCAUACAUCAUGUCGUCUUUCUGGGUCCGGCCACAAAAUUCCGUCCACAUCGCAUGCGAUAUCCUCCAGUCCAAGGCACCGGGGAAAAUAUCUCCUUGAAUGCCGUAUCCAGGCCUGACAUGAUGCCUGGUCAAUAUCUCCACAUGCCUCCUCCAUUGCCUGUAAAAGGGCUACCUGUUGAUGAGGAUGACGGUCGUACACCUUCCAGCGCCAGGCAGAGAAGAACUCCUCGAUGGGAUUUAAGAAUGGAGAGUAUGGAGGGAGGUUGAGUGGGAGGUCUGUAAACCAGUUGCGAACCAAAUCAGCCCUAUGGAAACUAACAUUGUCCCAUAUGAUGACAUAUCGGGUAUGCUCUGGUCUCUGAACAGUGAGCAUCUCAUGUAAGGUGUCCAGGAAUGCAAUAAUGUGUGCAGUGUUGUAUGGGCCUAUGGUUGCAUGAUGGUGAACAACACCAUUUUGGCUUAUAGCUGCACACAUGGUUAUGUUACCACCACGUUGUCCUGGGACAUUGAGGAUGGCACGGUGUCCAAUAAUGUUCCUGCCACGUCUCCUGGUUUUACCGAAGUUAAAACCAGCCUCAUCUACAAAAAGUAGCUCAUGUCGCAUGCAGUGUUAAUUUUGUCGACGAAAACUAUGACGAAAUAUUUUCGUUAACAAACCUUUUUUCCAUGACUAAGACGAGACUAAGACGUGACGAAAACCAUCUUUAAAAAUAAAAACUGUGACUAAAUCUAUUCUAACUUUUGUUGACGAGACGAACAUGUUGGUGGUUGUCAGGAUACUUUUUUCCCCCUAAAUUUGCAGACAACAGACCGGCAAAGUACGGCGGACAACCAAGUACUGCAAGCUAGACCAUUGUGCAGUUGUAUACACAGCACAGGGGUUCCCUGGGCCUGAGGAGGGAAGAAAAGGAGUUUAAUAUGGCUAUUAAAUGUGACUAAAACUAAUUAACUAAAGACUAAGUAAAUUAAUUUUAGUCUAGUUUUCGUCGACGAAAACUAGACUAAAACUAAGAAGGAUUAAAAUGACUAAAUGUGACUAAAACUAAUAUGCAUUUUUCGUCUUAAGACUAAAUCUUUUUGAUCUAAAUCUUUUGCUGCUAAAAAAAACACUGGUCCCAUGGCAUCUUCUUCUAGUCCCAUCCCUCUCUGGACAAGACAAAACAAAUGCAACACAUCAGGCCCAUGCACAGCACUACAGUAUGCACUUCCAAAUUCAGAACCAAUGACACUAGCUUUCCUGCACAUAGUCAUAUCGCAGUUGCUUUAUACGUUCUAUGUUUCUAUGAAAGGAACUCUGUACAUUUGCUUCAUUCUUAUUCUGUGGAUCAGGAUCAGGAUCAGGAAACAUUUAUUACCAAAAUAUGCCAAACAUACAAGGAAUUUGUCUUGGCGGUUGGUGCGCGACAGUAGACAAUGUGACAGCAGUGCACAAGUAAUAAAAUAAAGUAAAAUGAAAUGCUAGUGCAAUGGGUUAGUAGAAUAAGGCUAUGGGUUAGUAUAAAACAAGGGAAUAAAGUUAAAUAUUUUAAAUAUUAAAAAAGUUUAAAAAAAAGAAAUAUUAAGCAUAAAGUGCACUAACGAACAAGUAACAAAGUGACAAGUGACGCGCAAGUACACGACUUAUCGCAGAAAUGCUUACACUGUGUAAGUUUUGAAAGAUGGUGUCAUUAUCAAUUAUGCACUGCUGUAUUUCGCGCAGUCUUAUUGCAUUAUUGGCAAUCACCAUGUUCACUAUAUGGGUCUCUUUACAUUACAUUACAUUACAUUGUUCCUCUGCCCCCAACAUCUGGACGUCUAGCAAUUCUGUGAAGUAACAAUUUCAGUAUUUUUGCAUGUAUGGUACUGUUGUGGUUCUCAUUAGAGUAUGGCAGUGCUACAAAGUACUUACCGAUUCUCAUUUCGAAAUGUCCUAAUGAUGCUUGCCACAGUGUAGCGGCUCAAAUUAGGCUGAACCCGUUGGCCAGCUUCCCUCAGGGUCAUCCCAUGGUUGAUGACAUGGUCCACCAUUGUAGCUCUGAUGUCAUCAGUUAUUCUAUUUCUUACUCUUCUUACCCUUCCUCUUUCCCCUCCUUGUCCUCUUCCUCUAACCCUCUCGCUUCUUCAACUCCACUUCCUCUUCCUCCAACUUCUUCACCUCCACCUCCUCGGCCUCCUCUGAUUCUCACUCUUCUCACUCUUACUGCUCCUUCCAUUGUACUCCACACAGACAGCUUACCUGUGGCUUAUUUAUAGUGCUUAGGCUGAUUGCAAAGUGAACUAAUUAUCUAAAACAGUUUUCACAUGUGAAAGUGUGCCAGACAGUUGGCAAAAUAGUGUUAAUGGUAGCCUUACAUGUGUAUAAUUUUGCUAGGAGUGUGUUGUAAAUUUGGUAAUUGAGUGUAAGCAGUGAGCUGUGUUUAAAGUUCUGCAAAAGGUGUGUUUUGUAUUGAAUUGUGCCUACAGUUUUUGCAAAGUGUGUGUUACAAAAUUGCAAACUGAGUGCAAAGCAGUGUUUGUGCUUUUAGUUUUGCAAACUCAGUGAGUGGUUUUGCUACACGUAUUAAUAGUUUUAGAAAUUGUGCUACAAGAAUCACGAUUAGCGCUUAAGUAUUCCGAAAAAACUGUAACACCCUGGGUUCAAUGCCUUUUGGGCGAGAGUUUAGUAUUGGAAUACUUAAAUUUCUACAUUUUUAAUACGUUUAUAGGAGUAUUACAUGCAAGUUUGUAAUACCCUACAUUUCCUUGCAGAGACAGGAUUGGGGGUCCGAGGACUGGAGAUUCCAUCUGGAACCCACGUGUCAUCCAAAGAUUCUACGACAGCUUUAGUUAAAAUGAGAACAAAUUGCAUGAACAAACAAUGUGGAACACUUCCUGAGUGUAAACAAAAAAAAGGUUUUACAUGUUUGAAUUCCUAAUACAUGAAGGUCUUUGAGAAAGUUGUGUGGCCGCUGCCUUUCUCUUUGGAGUCUGGAAAAAACUGUGUGCUGUAUGUGUAACAACUAUUUCAGUUAUUUUAUGUGCUAGUACAAUAUUAUCUAAAAAACGUAAUUAAGUUAGGACAAAGGGUUUAUACACUUUAUUUUUGAAAUAUUUGUAACUUUAUAUUAUUUUUAACUUAUUCCUGUAUUUUUAAACUAACCGAUAUCCUUAUAUUGCUAACCCAUAGCAUUAUAUUUUAUUCCUCUUGCACUGUUGUCUUGUCGUACUGUCUGCUGUUACGCACUAACCGCCAAGUCAAAUUCCUUGUAUGUCUGACAUAUAAUGGCAAUAAAUGUUUCCUGAUUCCUGACCAUCAAAAAAUGGAAGAUAAAUUUGCUUUGGGUGUGUGAGAUGCAUGUAAUGGUAAAAUAUGUUCUAACAUUGUAUUGUGCUAAACCCGUGUCUCAAGUGUCUGUAUUACAAAACUUUUAAUUAGCAGCUGUGUCCCGAGCAGGGACGCCGGUCAACUCGAUCUCAUAGACGCUCCAUCAAAGGGAAUUCUGUUCAUGGCCUUGGUUCAUAUCUUAUUUGGUACGAAGGUUUUCACAUCCGCGUUUCUACUUUUUGUCUAUUAAUUAUAAUUUGCACCUGCCACUGAGGUUGACCUUGUGGUGUGUGUAUAAAAACUCAGCUUUUACUUUUUUGUUGUUUUUGUUACUUGUGUGUAUGGUUGUGUGUUUGACCAUUUUGCUAUUCCGGCCUUGAUUCUUGCCUUGCCCUUUUGGAUCUGUUUGCUGUGUAUAUAGUUUAUAGUAAGCCCUAUUUGUACACACUUCUAUAUAUUGUGCAGGAAAGUAGGGAGUUUGGACGACAUUUUCUUUCUUUUUGUUUUUGGUUAGAUAGGAAGUUAGAAAAGACGGGUGUAUAUUGAUUUUAUUUUUUGUUUGAUUAGGUUAGUUAGUUUCCUUUUUAAAAGUAAGAGGUGUUUUGUUUUUUUAUUUUGGCCUUGUUGGCUCCUGAAGCUGUUCUCCCAGACCCAAAUAAAUACAACCCCCCCCCCCCGCAAAGUUGGAUAGUGGUCUCGCUUUUUCAUGUUGCGUCUAAGACCGGGUCGCAACGAUAUAGUGCCAACUUGGGAAAAUCUUUGAGAAUAACCAACAUAGAAACAACAACUACAUACAACUAGCCUACUACUGUAUUUUAACUACCUAAGAAGUUGGCCUAUAUAAAAUAUAUUCAGCUGCCGUAUGAAUGGUUUGGCAUUUUGGAAUGAAGCCAAUAUAGGCGAAAAUUUAAAUUUGGAUGAUUUAAAAAGUGGAACGCCAUCUACAUUUAAAACCAACUGAGUAUCUCCUGUAAAAUUUGGACACUGUGUUAAGUGUUGCAAGAUGUCCUUCUCUAGGCCAUAAUAUAAAUAUUGUCCAUUGCAUUUGUGUACAAGUAACUGCCGGUAGGGUGGAAAGCAGUGUGCGAGCAUCUUUGGGAAGGUGACAUCCAUGUUUUCUUAGAACAAGGAGAAGUUCGUUGAGAUUUCUGUGAGUUGGUUUUGUGUUGGUAGCCCAAUUAGCUAAAUCGUUAGCUAAAUUUGGAUCUUCAUUCCCAGAAUCAGAUUCUGUAACAACCACAUCUGGUUCUGAGUCAUUUGAAUCUAGAUACGUAUCUGCAUAUCAGCUGCAUCUCCGUCAUCGUCACUUGAGUCUUCUUUUGAUUCUUCGUGUGUAGGGAAGUCAGAAAGCGUAGAACACCCCGCAAGUGCAGAUGUGGCUGAUUCCUCUGUUUCCAAAGUGUUGGAACCCUCAUUUACAGAGUGCAAAAGAUCCUGCUGGUCCAUCAUCAGUUGUGUUUGCAGUAGCUAAAGCGUCAAUUUCUAGGGUCCGGCUCCGGGGCGGCGACUGCUGGACACUGGAACGGGGACCGGUGGCGAGGGAAGCCGGAGUCGGCGGCUGCGUGGCGAAGCAAGCCGGAGUCGGCGGCGGCUGCGUGGCGAAGCAAGCCGGAGUCGGCGGCGGCUGCGUGGCGAGGGAAGCCGGAGUCGGCGGCGGCUGCGUGGCGAGGGAAGCCGGAGUCGGCGGCGGCUGCGUGGCGAGGGAAGCCGGAGUCGGCGGCGGCUGCGUGGCGAGGGAAGCCUGAUGGGCUUUUGUGGCCCAGGUUUGAUAUAUCAUCUAUUUUACGUCUUGCACACUGUGCAAAAAGUGACUUUGCAUUUGAAGGAUGCUGCAACUCUAACACAAAAUUAUGCAAACAAAUAGAACAUUAUUUGCAAAAUUAUUUAACAAAAUACACAAAAAAAAGAAAUAUUUACAACCCAUGUAAAUUUCAAGUGCAGUCGUAUUUGAUAAAAGGAAAUCUAUACCAUCAUGAUUUAUUAGGUUACUGCCUGUCAGUAAGGUCAGGCACAUCCCAUAACCUUAUGUUUAUCUGUGGAAAUGUUCAAUCAUAUAGCAAUGGCCGCUGUAAAGUCAACCUUUAGUGCACAAAAAGAAUGGGGAGCCUAUCCACUCCCGAAAGUCGUUGCUUGCUGUAACUUUUGGGUUCAACAAUUUCUUGAUGUUUAAUUUCCAAAAUAUUCACUGAGAGCAAAUUCUACGUCGGUGACAGUCUGGACAAGUUUUGAGGUGAAUGUGACAACAUGCUCCAUCUCAAAUCUGCUGCCGUUCUACCUGCAAAAUAAACAGACAGAAACACAGAGAGCUUUUACCGCAUUCAGCUCCAGCCUCCCUGUCUUUGGAAAAGGGUGUCAAUCUCCUAUCUCUGUUAUAAGGUCCACAGACCCACACUUUUUCUUGACUGCCUUGUCAGCACAGAUCAUGUUUGGAACGUCUCAGGGCUCGAGUCUGGAAGACAUGCAAAGUUGAGGAACAGUUAUUUUUCUUUACACCAGGCAGUCACUAUGCAGAGUGCACAAAGGAUUACUGCACUACUGCAUGCAGGAGCAGGGUCAACAGGGAUUAUCUUGCAUCUCUUAUGUCUAGAACCCAGCUCUAACACUUGGUCGUGGCUUUUUUCCUCUUCCUUUAUUUGGCUAUCUUUUUCACACAAUCAGCACUAUGAGUAAUGCUCAAUAAUUCCAAGACGUCUAUAGCUGAACUCUAGGUUUACAGAAAGCCUUUUUUCAUCUGAAUAUGAGUUUUGACUUAGACAUCUACACGUGUAGAUAUUAUAACAGGUUAUACUUAAUCGCCCGUUCUUUUUGGCCUGGAUAUGAUUAAUACAAUUGCUAACUUGCAAAAUGGUUUCAUUACUUUGAGAAAGAUGACACGACGGUCAGCCAAACAUCUAGCCAUUUAAUUGAAAAAAUAUUGAUACGUCGUUCCAGUCUAUGACUGCUGUUAGCUACUAGCAAAUUUCAAGUUGAAAUGUUAUGAGAGUCAUGAGUUGAUGUCGGGAAGCAGGACGACUUUAUAAUUGUUGUUGUUGGUGCACCUCACACAUGCUUUAGAAAUGAUUUGAUUGUCAAGUGAAAGAGCUUUAUUCUCCUUUUAAAUGAAUUUCGAUUACUGAGAGAAACAAAGCUAGUCGCUCCUGUGCACUCCAGCAGCACCUCGGUUCUGCCACCCAACUUUUAAAAGGUCAUGACUUUAAACUUAAUGCUCAGUAUAAAAAAGUUAGAGUCUAUGUUUCUCAAGCUUAUUUUAGUUCUUAGAGGUUUAAAUCAUAAAGCAUCAAGGCCUUUGAACAUUUAUUCAACCAGCAGGACAUUCAGACUAAUGUUCAGGCUCCACAUUCCUCCUCGUAAGAACAUUAUUCCUCCUGGCUACUUAAGGCUGUUUGAUAUCAUCCCCAACAAUAGUUUUUGCUGUCUUAAUGUGAUCCCUGCUUCUUGUGGCUGUGUCCCUUUUUUGUGGCUACUUUCUGUCAAAGAAAAUCAAAGCGUAGCAUUAAAGCUUUUAAGCAGCCUGGUAUGCUGGCUUCAUUCCAUAAAAUCCCGAUGCUGUUGAGUGGAUUAUCACUGAGGGGAAUACGUGAGGGCUUUGUUAUCAAGCACAGAGAAAUGUUCUGAUCCGAUAAUAAGUUGGUGAGAUCCGACAAGACCCCCAAAACAGACUGAAAGGGAUUGGGAAGUGGGCAAAGAGGAGUGUGUGUGUGUAUGUGUGUGUGUGUGUGUGUGUGUGUGUGUGUGUGUGUGUGUGUGUGUGUGUGUGUGGUGGGUGGAGGGGGGGGGGGGGGGUCAUUAAACAGCAAAUCUGUGUUAGAUUAGAGCAAAACCCAAUAUGUAAUCCCGAAGGGAGAAGGAGGAAACUGAAUCAGAUAGAUUAGCACUGAAAACUAAUAGCGGCGGGCUAGAAAAGAUAUUAGGGAUGAGGGAGCAGCACAGUCGGACCAUGACGUUGUAAUGGAUCACUCGGAUAUAAACAUCUAUACCAAGAGGGUUGUACCAAGUGGCCUGUUACACUUGAGGUGUCUUCAUUAGCCAGGUUUACAUCCAAACUGAUUACACAUUUUAACUGAAUUAAAUAAAAAUAUUUUAAGUGAAAAGCAGCUUGUCACAAAAGCAGGCAAACUAUUUAUUUGGCCUUGUUUCCCAAGAUUAGUUAUUGCGCGGUAUUUGUAUGCGUCUUGUUACGGUGUCUCUGUGCGUGCUUGUACAUGAGGAGUCUAUUAGUGUGCAUCUACGUGAUGUGUGCGUUAGAUGUUACUGCAUCAGCUAAAGAGUCAGCUGAAGAUUUAGGCUGGACAAAGCAUUCUGGCAAGACAAAAAAGCUACACACAGCUAUUUAUAUAACAAUUACAGUUAACAGUACAAAAUAUUCUACUCUAUUUCUCAUCUGCUACAACACAGGGCUCCUGUGCGCAUACACCUACACUCUCCCUCGUCCACACACACUCCCUCAGCACUACGCUACUUUAAAAUAGCGGACUACAAUUAAUUGGACUAGUCGCUCCCUCAACGCAUCUGCUAUUCUGGCUCUAAAGGCCGGCACAUGCUUCUGCGUCUGCGUCGUUGCGUCGACGCACUCGUUUCAAUUCAUGGUUCUAAAAGUCUUGCAUGUGUUGCAGAGCAAUUCAGCUCCAGAACAACAGGCGGAGUAACGUGUUUUGUCGAAGACGACCUAGAGAGUCACGUCUUUGUGCGUGGAAGUCGGUUUGUUUAUUUAUUUAUCAUAGACUUUAUUGCCCCGUGCAUCGACACUGCUGCUUUUCAUCACGGACACAUUUGUCCCGUAUUUUCCUCCGCGACUUUGUGCACCUCUCGACUGGCAAACCGGCCUUUUUCUGGAGAUCUGCCUCCAUGAAUCCAACCCGCUUAUACAACCCGCCAAUGACUGCUUAUAUAAGCGGUCAUAUUUACGCAUUUCUUCCGACAAAAGUUCUCCGAUCUGAUUCAUUCUCUCGUGAACAGUCUUCGUUUUAAUAAGCAGUAUUGUGCUAUGAAAAGAAUGUAGUUAGUAGACCAAUUAUUAAAAUGCAUUUAGUGUACACCAGUAUACAGCUAUGAUUCCGAAACUAUGGAAAGAAUGAGAAUAGUGUAAUACUGCUGUCAUUUUAAAACUGUAAUCAAAAGAAUAACACCAAUGCACAGCUAUGAUUCUAUUCAAUGCAAUGUAGUCAACCGAAAUGCAUUUAUGUGUAAGUUGAUACCUCCAUUUCUAUUGACAUUUUGAA